AGGAGACAAAGCGGUUUGGCUUGGAGCAGUGGAGAGGGAUAGGGAGUGACCGAAGCAACGGAGAAUCUGCUGAUGCUGCUGUUCGUGAGGAGUACGAGGAAUAGAGAGAGUGAGUGGUGAUUGCCCAUGUUUUGUUCUUUGGGAUGGGAGCGAGCGGAAGAGCACACAGUCU